CCCUAGUAACUGCGAGUGAAGCGGGAAAAGCUCAAAUUUAAAAGCUGGCGGUCUCAGGCUGUCCGCGUUGUAAUCUAGAGAAGUGUUAUCCGCGCUGGACCGUGUACAAGUCUCCUGGAAUGGAGCGUCAUAGAGGGUGAGAAUCCCGUCUUUGACACGGACUGCCAGGGCUUUGUGAUGCGCUCUCAAAGAGUCGAGUUGUUUGGGAAUGCAGCUCAAAAUGGGUGGUAAAUUCCAUCUAAAGCUAAAUAUUGGCGAGAGACCGAUAGCGAACAAGUACCGUGAGGGAAAGAUGAAAAGAACUUUGGAAAGAGAGUUAAACAGUACGUGAAAUUGCUGAAAGGGAAACGCUUGAAGUCAGUCGCGUGGAUCGGAGAUCAACCUUGCUUUUGCUGGGCGUACUCUCCGGUUGACGGGCCAGCAUCAAUUUUGGGCGCUGGAAAAAGGCUAAGGGAAUGUGGCAUCUUCGGAUGUGUUAUAGCCCUUGGUCGCAUACAGUGGCUGGGAUUGAGGAACUCAGCACGCCGCAAGGCCGGGUUUUUAACCACGUUCGUGCUUAGGAUGCUGGCAUAAUGGCUUUAAUCGACCCGUCUUGAAACACGGACCAAGGAGUCUAACAUGCCUGCGAGUGUUUGGGUGGAAAACCCGAGCGCGUAAUGAAAGUGAAAGUUGAGAUCCCUGUCGUGGGGAGCAUCGACGCCCGGACCAGACCUUUUGUGACGGAUCUGCGGUAGAGCAUGUAUGUUGGGACCCGAAAGAUGGUGAACUAUGCCUGAAUAGGGUGAAGCCAGAGGAAACUCUGGUGGAGGCUCGUAGCGAUUCUGACGUGCAAAUCGAUCGUCAAAUUUGGGUAUAGGGGCGAAAGACUAAUCGAACCAUCUAGUAGCUGG
rnacentral:rRNA from 1 species